rnacentral:rRNA from 1 species
AGCGAACGCUGGCGGCAGGCCUAACACAUGCAAGUCGAACGAACCUUUCGGGGUUAGUGGCGGACGGGUGAGUAACACGUGGGAACGUGCCUUUAGGUUCGGAAUAACUCAGGGAAACUUGUGCUAAUACCGAAUGUGCCCUUCGGGGGAAAGAUUUAUCGCCUUUAGAGCGGCCGGCGUCUGAUUAGCUAGUUGGUUGAGGUAAUGGCUCACCAAGGCGACGAUCAGUAGCUGGUCUGAGAGGAUGAUCAGCCACAUUGGGACUGAGACACGGCCCAAACUCCGACGGGAGGCAGCAGUGGGGAAUCUUGCGCAAUGGGCGAAAGCCUGACGAAGCCAUGCCGCGUGAAUGAUGAAGGUCUUAGGAUUGUAAAAUUCUUUCACCGGGGACGAUAAUGACGGUACCCGGAGAAGAAGCCCCGGCUAACUUCGUG